rnacentral:rRNA from 1 species
UGGGCGGUUCGCCCAUUAAAGUGGUACGCGGGCUGGGUUCAGAACGUCGUGGGACAGUUCGGUCCCUAUCCGUCGCAGGCGUAGGAAAUUUGGGAAGACCUGUCCUUAGUACGAGAGGACCGGGAUGGACGUACCUCUGGUGUACCAGUUGUUCUGCCAAGGGCAUGGCUGGGUAGCUGUGUACGGAAUGGAUAAGCGCUGAAAGCAUCUAAGCGCGAAG